AUGUAAGUCAGUGGUGAAUUAAAUACCUCAGAGCCAUAUGACCUGAGACUUAUUUCUGUUGUCUACUCACAGUGAGGCACUUUACAGAAAUAUAACUCUUUAGUUGCUACUUACACAAUUUCAACUGAAGUUUUAAGUUAGAAAGUGUAAAAGCAAUGAUCCUCACUAUAACACUUCAAUGUGCAGCAAUAUUGUAAGAAAUAUAAAUGCUACAAAUUGGUUUGUUAAGAUGAGGUAGUUAAAUAUCAUGAGAGUGCCACUGUUUACCCACUCUUUAGUCUGUGGUCAUUUGUUUUAAUUUUUACUUACAUGACUUGGUUGCUAACUAGGAUAUUUUUUAGUACAAAUGAUGCAAAUAUCUGUGUUACGUACUACCAGAAAUUCAAAAAGGAGAUAAAAAGAGCUCUAUUCUCCAAGGGACUAUGUGACUAGAUCCCUUAAAAGCAGAUUCAAAUAAGAAAAACUCAAUCACACUAACUUUGAGUUGUGCUUUAAAAUUUUUUGCUAUUUGUCUGAAUCCUGACAAAAUGUGUACUGAGGGUAGCAAAACAUAUUUGUGUAUACAGGUACAGCUGCACUUCAUUGAUUAAUUUCUCCAUGUAACAGAUUUUUAUUGAGCAUAUGUUAUGUGCUUAAAACAGGAGAUAAGUAGUAAACAAGAAAAAUAAAGAAGAUAGUGAUGAUGUUGAUAAUGAUAAUAACAGCUAGCCUGUAUUGAGUGCUACCUAUGUGUCAGGUAUUUAUGUGGAUUAUUAAUCCUCAUGGUAACAAUAUGAGGCAGGUUCUAUUAUCAUUCCACUUUGCAGGUGAGGGAAUAGAUUUAGGGAGACCUCACAGCUAGGAAAUAGUGCAACCUAAACUCAACACUGCAAUUCUGACUCCCAGGGCCAGAUUCCUAACUAACAACACGCAAACACAUUCAUUUUCCUCAUGGAGCAUAUGUUCCAGCUACCUGUUUAUUUAACAAAUAUUUAUCAAGUGUCUACUUUGUGCCAGGCACAGUCCUAGGCCCUGAGUUACAGAGAUAAAGAGUUUGACAGGGUCAUUGCUAUCAUGGCUUAUACCUUCCAGAGCCUCUAAAAGAGGUUUUGUAAAAAGGGAGAAAGUAUGCACGUAUUAAUGCAAGUACUAGACAUAAUUGAGGUAAUUAAUAACAUUGACAAGAAUUACUACACUAUUGAAAUAUAAUACAGUUUCUUUAAAAAUACAUACUGUAUAUUCUGAAAGGGCAAUGUUAUUUUUACAUCUUAAAAGGAAUUCAUUUUCAUCUCUGGUUCAAAAUGUAUACCUUUAAAAAAAAAAAAAAAAACUUUUA